CCUACGGGAGGCAGCAGUAGGGAAUCUUCCACAAUGGGCGAAAGCCUGAUGGAGCAACGCCGCGUGGGUGAAGAAGGUCUUAGGAUCGUAAAACCCUGUUGUUAGAGAAGAAAGGGCGUGAGAGUAACUGUUCACGUUUCGACGGUAUCUAACCGGAAAGCCACGGCUAACUACGUGCCAGCAGCCGCGGUAAUACGUAGGUGGCAAGCGUUAUCCGGAUUUAUUGGGCGUAAAGGGAACGCAGGCGGUCUUUUAAGUCUGAUGUGAAAGCCUUCGGCUUAACCGGAGUAGUGCAUUGGAAACUGGGAGACUUGAGUGCAGAAGAGGAGAGUGGAACUCCAUGUGUAGCGGUGAAAUGCGUAGAUAUAUGGAAGAACACCAGUGGCGAAAGCGGCUUUCUGGUCUGUAACUGACGCUGAGGUUCGAAAGCGUGGGUAGCAAACAGGAUUAGAUACCCUAGUAGUC
rnacentral:rRNA from 1 species